GUAAGGAAUAUUGGUCAAUGGACGAAAGUCUGAACCAGCCAUGCCGCGUGAAGGAUGAAGGCCCUCUGGGUUGUAAACUUCUUUUAUCUGGGACGAAAAAAGGGUAUUCUUACUCACUUGACGGUACCAGAGGAAUAAGCACCGGCUAACUCCGUGCCAGCAGCCGCGGUAAUACGGAGGGUGCAAGCGUUAUCCGGAUUCACUGGGUUUAAAGGGUGCGUAGGUGGGUAUUUAAGUCAGUGGUGAAAUCUCCGAGCUUAACUCGGAAACUGUCAUUGAUACUAUUUACCUUGAAUGCCCUGGAGGUAAGCGGAAUAUGUCAUGUAGCGGUGAAAUGCUUAGAUAUGACAUAGAACACCAAUUGCGAAGGCAGCUUACUACGGGGUGAUUGACACUGAGGCACGAAAGCGUGGGGAGCAAACAGGAUUAGAAACCCGUGUAGUCC
rnacentral:rRNA from 1 species